rnacentral:misc_RNA from 1 species
AAGUCGUAACAAGUUUCCGUAGGUGAACCUGCGGAUCCAACGUUAAACCCCCCGUGAACCUUCAGUGCGCUCGCACUGUCUUAGAAAAGGUAGCAAUCCCUGGUAAAUCAUUGCCGAACAGUUUUGAUUCAGGGACUUCUGCGUAGACUGUGCUUGAGCGUGAGGCAAGUGGCCUGGCAUUCCUCUGCUUGUUGGUGUCUGAAAGUGUCACCAGCUCUGUACGAAUGGCGCAGUCACGAUCGCUAGAGGCCGACACGGCCGGCGACCGGGUCACUGGGCGCGAGCCCCCCUCGUCACCUUUGCAUGAAAACGGGCCUGCGCUUAAUUGUGCGGCCACCAAACUCGAACAACUGUUAACAAUGGAUAUCUUGGUUCUC